GAUCCUGGCUCAGGAUGAACGCUAGCGGCAGGCUUAACACAUGCAAGUCGAGGGGCAGCGCGGGGCGGCAACGUCCUGGCGGCGACCGGCGGAAGGGUGCGUAACGCGUGAGCGACAUGCCCGUUGCCCGGGGACAACCGGUGGAAACGCCGACUAAUCCCCGAUGGGACGGAGACCCUCAUGGGUCUCUGUUGAAAGUUACGGCGGCGACGGAUUGGCUCGCGUCCGAUUAGCUAGUUGGCGGGUAACGGCCCACAGG
rnacentral:rRNA from 1 species